rnacentral:rRNA from 1 species
GGCGAACGCUGGCGGCGUGCUUAACACAUGCAAGUCGAACGGAAAGGCCCUGCUUUUGUGGGGUGCUCGAGUGGCGAACGGGUGAGUAACACGUGAGUAACCUGCCCUUGACUUUGGGAUAACUUCAGGAAACUGGGGCUCAUACCGGAUAGGAGCUCCUGCUGCAUGGUGGGGGUUGGAAAGUUUCGGCGGUUGGGGAUGGACUCGCGGCUUAUCCGCUUGUUGGUGGGGUAGUGGCUUACCAAGGCUUUGACGGGUAGCCGGCCUGAGAGGGUGACCGGCGACAAUGGGACUGAGAGACGGACCAGACUCCUACGGGAGGCAGCAGUGGGGAAUAUGGCACAAUGGGCGGAAGCCUGAGGCGGCAACGCCGCGGGCGGGAUGACGGCCUUUGGGUUGUAAACCGCUUUCGCCUGAGACGAAGCGUGAGUGACGGUAAUGGGUAAAGAAGCACCGGCUAACUACGUG